UACGAAGGGGGCUAGCGUUGUUCGGAUUUACUGGGCGUAAAGCGCACGUAGGCGGAUCUUUAAGUCAGAGGUGAAAUCCCAAGGCUCAACCUUGGAACUGCCUUUGAUACUGGGGAUCUUGAGUCCGGGGGAGGUGAGUGGAACUGCGAGUGUAGAGGUGAAAUUCGUAGAUAUUCGCAAGAACACCAGUGGCGAAGGCGGCUCACUGGCCCGGUACUGACGCUGAGGUGCGAAAGCGUGGGGAGCAAACAGG
rnacentral:rRNA from 1 species